rnacentral:misc_RNA from 1 species
AACGCAAAUUGCGCCUGCGCCUCGGCAAAGGCAUGUCUGUCUCAGCGUCGGCUGCACCCAUCACCCUCCCAUUUCGUGGGCGGAUGGAUCUGGCCGUCUGGGCGUUCGGCAACGCAACCCCGGUCGGCUGAAGCGCAGAGGUCAGAGUGGGUCCCAAUCGAGGGCUCCGGCUAGGUAGGCUGCCGACAGGCUGCAUACCGCCGGUCACCCGGGACGUCCGCACUUGACCGGCAGGAAUGGGGCGGAAGUCCCACACAUCAAAUUUCGACCUGAGAUCAGGCAAGACCACCCGCUGAACUUAA